rnacentral:rRNA from 1 species
CACGGUCCAGACUCCUACGGGAGGCAGCAGUAGGGAAUAUUGCGCAAUGGGGGAAACCCUGACGCAGCAACGCCGCGUGGAGGAUGACACUUUUCGGAGCGUAAACUCCUUUUCUUAGGGAAGAAUUCUGACGGUACCUAAGGAAUAAGCACCGGCUAACUCCGUGCCAGCAGCCGCGGUAAUACGGAGGGUGCAAGCGUUACUCGGAAUCACUGGGCGUAAAGGGCGCGUAGGCGGAUUAUCAAGUCUCUUGUGAAAUCUAAUGGCUUAACCAUUAAACUGCUUGGGAAACUGAUAGUCUAGAGUGAGGGAGAGGCAGAUGGAAUUGGUGGUGUAGGGGUAAAAUCCGUAGAUAUCACCAAGAAUACCCAUUGCGAAGGCGAUCUGCUGGAACUCAACUGACGCUAAGGCGCGAAAGCGUGGGGAGCAAACAGGAUUAGAUACCCUGGUAGUCCACGCCCUAAACGAUGUACACUAGUUGUUGGGAUGCUAGUCAUCUCAGUAAUGCAGCUAACGCAUUAAGUGUACCGCCUGGGGAGUACGGUCGCAAGAUUAAAACUCAAAGGAAUAGACGGGGACCCGCACAAGCGGUGGAGCAUGUGGUUUAAUUCGAAGAUACGCGAAGAACCUUACCUGGGCUUGAUAUCCUAAGAACCUUAUAGAGAUAUGAGGGUGCUAGCUUGCUAGAACUUAGAGACAGGUGCUGCACGGCUGUCGUCAGCUCGUGUCGUGAGAUGUUGGGUUAAGUCCCGCAACGAGCGCAACCCACGUAUUUAGUUGCUAACGGUUCGGCCGAGCACUCUAAAUAGACUGCCUUCGUAAGGAGGAGGAAGGUGUGGACGACGUCAAGUCAUCAUGGCCCUUAUGCCCAGGGCGACACACGUGCUACAAUGGCAUAUACAAUGAGACGCAAUACCGCGAGGUGGAGCAAAUCUAUAAAAUAUGUCCCAGUUCGGAUUGUUCUCUGCAACUCGAGAGCAUGAAGCCGGAAUCGCUAGUAAUCGUAGAUCAGCCAUGCUACGGUGAAUACGUUCCCGGGUCUUGUACUCACCGCCCGUCACACCAUGGGAGUUGAUUUCACUCGAAGCCGGAAUACUAAACUAGUUACCGUCCACAGUGGAAUCAGCGACUGGGGUGAAGUCGUAACAAGGUAACCGUAGGAGAACCUGCGGUUGGAUCACCUCCUUUCUA